rnacentral:sRNA from 1 species
GUCUUUUCGAGGUAGGAGUCGACUCCUGUGAGGUAUGGUGCUGGGUGCAGAUGCAGUGUGGCUCUGGAUAGCACCUUAUGGACAGUUGUGUCCCCAAGGAAGGAUGAGAAUAGCUACUGAAGUCCUAAAGAGCAAGCCUAACUCAAGCCAUUGGCACACAGGCAUUAGACAGAAAGCUGGAAGUUGAAAUGGUGGAGUCCAACUUGCCUGGACCAGCUUAAUGGUUCUGCUCCUGGUAACGUUUUUAUCCAUGGAUGACUUGCUUGGGUAAGGACAUGAAGACAGUUCCUGUCAUACCUUUUAAAGGUAUGGAGAGUCGGCUUGACUACACUGUGUGGAGCAAGUUUUAAAGAAGCAAAGGACUCAGAAUUCAUGAUUGAAGAAAUGCAGACCUGUUAUCCUAAACUAGGGUUUUUAAUGACCACAACAAGCAAGCAUGCAGCUUACUGCUUGAAAGGGUCUUGCCUCACCCAAGCUAGAGUGCAGUGGCCUUUGAAGCUUACUACAGCCUCAAACUUCUGGGCUCAAGUGAUCCUCAGCCUCCCAGUGGUCUUUGUAGACUGCCUGAUGGAGUCUCAUGGCACAAGAAGAUUAAAACAGUGUCUCCAAUUUUAAUAAAUUUUUGCAAUCCAUC